CGGCGUGUGGCGUGGCGGGGCGCGGCUGCCGGUGCACAAACAACCCCACCCCGCAGGGUCGGGCGGCGCGGGCGGCGCGGCGCGCUGGGCGGCUUUGCGUAGAGCGGACCAUGAGGCCGGCCAGACGGUUUGUUUAGACUUGGCCGUCGCGGGCGGGGCAGACCAGAGCAGGGGCGGCGCGGCGGCGGCGAGUCCCCCACCCACGCCUAGACAGGCUGUGCGCCUCGGCCCGCGGUGCUGCUGCAGCUGCACCAGGGAGAUGUCCGGCACAAGCCGCGAGUCUCCACUACGCUGCCCAGCUACUGGGUCCUGAGGAGGGCCUCCCCGGGCGCGCGGGCGCAGGGCGGCCGCUGGACGACGGCGACGGACGUUUUGUCUUCCAUAGAGGCGGGUUAGGGCGGGGCCACGGGGCCGCUGCCCUGCAGGAGUCACCGUCCUCCCCUGAGCCCCGCACCACCUCGCCGUCGCAAGCUCGACCCCGAGCACGAGCGUGGCCAGGGCGAGGCCGAUGAAGAGCACGUAGAACGCCGGGGCCAUCAUCUUCAGCGUGAGAGCCAUCACCUGCUGCAGGGACACCAAGUACCUCGCGAGCGCCACCUUGUUACCUUCGUCCAGCUUGUCCUCCCAAUGGUCCAGGAUCCCGGCUUGAUCCAAGCGCUCGUACGUCAAAUGGGACAGCUCGCCCAGCGGCGACCCAUGGGUCCACGCGGCGAUCAACCUUCUGUUGUCAGGGACAAUAGGGAACGAGUGCACCUUCUUCUGCGGGAUGGUCAGUGGCUGUAAAAGCCGCUGGAGGGCACGGUCAUGUACCGCGAUCAGCGCGCAGUUCCGGUGCUGCGCUACGUGUUGGAGGGUCUUGCUUACGUCCGUCGCUAAGUGAAGUUUGUGUUUAAUGUCUGGUUCUGUAUAAAACUCUUUCGCCAACACAUUAUGUGAA